UGGGGAAUAUUGCACAAUGGGCGAAAGCCUGAUGCAGCAACGCCGCGUGAGCGAUGAAGGCCUUCGGGUCGUAAAGCUCUGUCCUAUGGGAAGAUAAUGACGGUACCAUAGGAGGAAGCCCCGGCUAACUACGUGCCAGCAGCCGCGGUAAUACGUAGGGGGCAAGCGUUAUCCGGAAUUACUGGGCGUAAAGGGUGCGUAGGCGGUUUAUCAAGUCAGGGGUGAAAGGCUACGGCUCAACCGUAGUAAGCCUCUGAAACUGGUGAACUUGAGUGUAGGAGAGGAAAGUGGAAUUCCCAGUGUAGCGGUGAAAUGCGUAGAUAUUGGGAGGAACACCAGUGGCGAAGGCGACUUUCUGGACUAUAACUGACGCUGAGGCACGAAAGCGUGGGGAGCAAAC
rnacentral:rRNA from 1 species